AAGGUUUAGAGAUGACAGGUGUAAAUUUCCAAUGAGGGCAAGACACUAGAUGUAAAAAUAAAGGAGCAGGAUCCACAGGUGUGAUAGCUCAGUAGGUGGCUCUUCAGUUACGCCUCGUUGUGAUCUGGUCCGUUGGAAAUGUAUGGGGAGGAGGAAGAGGAGGUGGGAAGAGAAGCAGCAAAGAGGAAGGCGCGUGCCGGCAAGAAGGAGGCGAUGGAUGAUGAUAGCAAGGCCUGGCCCCUAACACCAUCCACGUGUGUUCCUCCGUGAUCUUCAUCCGCACACCAACCGGAUGUCAGUGCCCGGGUAUCUUGAAAGCUUCUGGUUGAAGAUGACAGAGCCUCCACCAGCUUGGGUCCUGGAAGCAGAACACCCCUGCCAGCCACCCAGGGCUAUUCCUACGCAUAAGAAAUAAAC